AUCCUGAUAUGGUCCUUGAGCCUUACUUUUGCUAACCCCUUGAUGCCUGUUUCAUAUCUUCUCUCUCCAGUUAUCCCAAACCUCCUGUCCCCCUUUCACUCUCAGCAAAUGACCUUGUUUUCUACUGUUUUCCCAUGCCCAUUAUGUAUUUCCUAGCUGUAUCCCAGGUGCCUACUUCCUGGAAUAUGGAGUUGAUUCAAUAUCAUAUUUGUUGAAUGAAUGAAACUAUGCAAAUUUCCUUGUGCUACAUACUCAGUAGUCAAUGGAUACAACGUAAUCAUAGCCUCCUGGUAUUGCACAUUCAUGGGAAUAAUGAAUUUAUUUGGACUAGAAACUAAGACCUGUUGGAAUGUCACCAGAAUAGAACCUCUUAAUGAAGUUCAAAGCUGUGAAGGCAUGUUUCUUCCAAAAAUGCUGUCAUUUGUAAACAUUCAUAAACAUUUAAUAAUAUUAUGAUUCACUUUUAAGAAUUAUUGUAAAAUUCUGUUGUUGAUUUAAAAAACAUUAGAACUGACUCACAUCAAUGAGUAUUUUACAUUUUUAAAAGUAGUUUUUACUGAGAAGGCUGUGUACUUAAAAAUUUGAGUAUAAAUUUUGGAAUUUGAGUAUUACAUAUCCCAUUGUAAGGCAACCUUGACUAUAAGUUAGUCUUCUAUUUCNNNNNNNNNNNNNNNNNNNNGAAUCCCUCAAGUUUUUGGAAUAGUUUCAGUAUGAUUGGUAUCCGCUCUCCUUUUAUGUCUGGUAGAAUUUGGCUGUGAAGUCAUCUGUUCCAGGGCUUUUUCUGGCUGGUAGGCUUUUUAUUGGUGAGUCAGUCUUGGAACUUGUUAUUGGUCUAUUCAGGAUUUUCAUUUCUUCUUGGUUAAAUCUUUGGAGGUUAUAUAUUUCCAGGAAUUUAGCCAUUUCUUCUAGGUUUUCCAGUUUGUGUCCAUAGAGUUGUUUGUAAUAGUCUCUCAGAGUUUUUUGCUUUUCUGCAGGGUCAAUGGUAAUAUCUCCUUUGUCAUUUCUGAUUGUGUUUAUUUGGGUCUUCUCUCUCUUUUUCUUUAUUAGUCUAGCUAGUGGUCUAUUAAAUUUAUUUGUUCUUUCAAAGAACCAACUUGUGGUUUUGUUGAUCUUUUGUAUGGUGUUUUGUGUCUCACUUUCAUUCAGUUCAUCUCUGAUUUGGUUAUUUCUUGUCUUCUGCUAGAUUUCGGGUUGGUUUGCUCUUAUUUUUCUGGUUCCUCUAGGUGUGAUGUUAGGUUGUUAAUCUGAGAUCUUUCUAACUUUGAAGCGGGCAUUUAGCUCUGUAAAUUUUCCUCUUAACACUGCUUUAGCUGUGUUCCAGCAAUCCUGGUAUGUUGUAUCUUUAUUGUCAUUAGUUUCAAAGAAUUUCUUGAUUUCUACCUUAAUUUCUUUGUUGACUCAAAAAGUCAUUCAGGAGCAGGUUGUUUAAAUUCCAUGUAAUUAUGUGGUUUUGGGAGAUGUUCUUAGUAUUGAUUUCUGUUUUUUUGCUGAGACUAUCUAUUUCUCUGGUAAACUUUUUAAAUUUUCCAUUUGUUUUAAGCAUGCUCAUUAGAGUAUAUUUAUGAUUGUUGCUUUAAAAUCCUUGAUAAUGCUAAUAUUUCUUUCAUCUCAGUAUUGGAAUCCAUUUAUUUCUCAUUCAGUUUGAGAUCUUUCUGGAUCUUGAUGAGUGAUUUUCACUUGAAACCUAGAUAUUUUGAGUAUUAUAUUAUGAGACCGGAUUUUAUUUAAACCUGCUAUUUUGACUAGAUACCUCUGGUAUCACUCAAGCAAAGGAAGGGGAAAAGGGGGAAGGCACCAUCUUGUUGCUUUCAGGAUCACCUGAGGUCAGGAGUUUGAGACCAGCCUGGCCAACAUGGUGAAACCCUGUCUCUACUAAAUAUAUAAAAAUUAGCCAGGCAUGGUGGUGGGCACUUGUAAUCCCAGCUACUUGGGAGGCUGAGGCAGGAGACUUGGCUUGAACCCAGGAGGAAGAGGUUGCAGUGAGCCAAGAUCACGCCACUGCACUCCAGCCUGAGUGAAAAGAGCGAGACUCCAUCCCCAAAAAAAAAAAAAGCCCAGGGAAGGUGGAAGUCUAGCUUCCCCACUUGGCCUUUGUUUAUACGGUAGGGGUAGAGCCACAUUUUUUUACUUUUGACUUUUUGGGUACUUUUUGUAUAUUUGUCUUAGUCUGUUUUGUGCUGUUUGAACAAAGUAUCUGAGACUAGGUAAUUUAUAAAGAAUAGAAAUUUAUAUCUCACAAUUAUGGAGUCUAAGAAUUCUGGAGUCCAAGGAAGUCCAAGAUCAAAGCGCCAGCAGAUUUGGUGUCUGGUGAAGGCUGCUCUCUGCUUCCAAGAUGGUGCCUUGAUGUUGCAUCUUCUGAAGGAGAGGAACACUGUGUCCUCACAUGGUAGACAGUAGGAGAGUAAGACGCUUUAAUCUCACUCAUGACGGGGGAGUCUUCAUGGUCUAAUCACCU
ensembl:lincRNA